CAGUUGUAUGUAAGAAUUGGAUGGAACUAAACAGAUUAACUAGUAAAUAGUAAGAUCGAAAUAUUCUUUUUCUGUUUAGUUUCCUCCAAUAUUUUAUCUCCAACUU
rfam:Citrus sinensis cultivar Ridge Pineapple sweet orange scaffold00055_contig_9, whole genome shotgun sequence.